rnacentral:lncRNA from 1 species
AACUACCUAGUACAUGCCACUUAACCAAAGGAAGAAAUACAUCACCAAAAUCUUUUUGUUGGAGUCGGGUUUGUUUUGGAUGCUAGACCGGAUCCGAAACUCUAAUAACCUGCGCACAGAAACAACCGUACGCUGAGUAUUUCAUACUCAGUGGUAUUACUAUAAAUCAGGACUAUUUAACAUUAAUAAAUUACAAGCAUCAACCAUAAAUUUUAUAAUUAUUUAAACUAAUUUUAUAUAUAAUUAUUUUACUUCAUAAAUCUUAAAUUCAUAAUUCAUUUUUCUCAUACCAACUCAAUUCAUAUUUUAGUUCAUACAUUCUUUCUCAUACUUUUCAAUAGUGCCAAAACAAAUAAUCUUAGUUUCAAAAUUUCAUUUCAAUUAUUUACCCUAUUAACAAGGCUCAGACUCUGACAGAUACGCGAAUUCCACCCAAACACACCAGAAUGUCCAACCCAAACACACCUAGAAUAUUAUAAAUCAUCCAUAACACACCAGUAAGGCAUUAAGUGCCUCUUCGGAUAAACCGAAGUAUAUAAUAACAGAAACAUCUUCUCGGCCGAACUACAAUCUCCUCAUCACAUCACAAAUCCAAUGGCAUGCCAUUUGUAUCAAAUCUAGUCCGACAAGUUAAUAGGGUAUUAUUUUACUUUUUCUAAUUUCAAUUUCAUUUACACAAAAAAUUUCAAUACUCAAUCAAUUCAAAUAUCUAUUAUCUUAAUUCAUAUACAAAUUAAUUUUCACACAUACUUAUAUUUAAAUUUAAAUAUAAUACUUGCCUUAUCUUAAUUAUUCCAUAACUAUAAAUUCAAUAUACAUUUAAUAAAUAGUUUGAGUUAUAGUAAUACAAACCCGAAACACGAGUUUACUCCUCAACGAUCUUUUCUUUUCCUUUGGAUGCCGAUGCCUCGUUUUCCUUGUUAGCAAACAAGUUUGAAGCUUCAAAAUCCCAAUUUUCCCCUUUUCUUUUCUUUCCCUUUUCUUCCCCUGUUUUUCAAAUGCUC